rnacentral:rRNA from 1 species
CAGUAGCCGCGGUAAUACGAAGGGGGCUAGCGUUGUUCGGAAUUACUGGGCGUAAAGCGCACGUAGGCGGAUAUUUAAGUCAGGGGUGAAAUCCCAGAGCUCAACUCUGGAACUGCCUUUGUUACUGGGUAUCUUGAGUAUGGAAGAGGUGAGUGGAAUUCCGAGUGUAGAGGUGAAAUUCGUAGAUAUUCGGAGGAACACCAGUGGCGAAGGCGGCUCACUGGUCCAUUACUGACGCUGAGGUGCGAAAGCGUGGGGAGCAAACAGGAUUAGAGACCCCUGUAGUCCCUGUCUCUUAUAC